CAAAGUGAAAAAAUCUAUGUGUGUCUUUCAUGGUUCACAAGAGCAUUGGUGUUUCUUAAUUUCAAAACUAAGUGGCUUAAUUAUUUGAUAUUUGUGUUCUUCAGUGCUUCCGUUAUUCAGAUUUAGUUAAUGAUCGACCAUCUACUGCACAAUUCAAGGAGAAACUUCCAUGGUUCCUCAAUGUUCUGCCCUCUUCUGAUUGUGCUAAGGGUGGUCAUGGUGCAUACAGUAGCAGUGUGGAAUUGAGAGGUUAUGAAAGUGGCAUUAUCCAAGCUUCUUCAUUCCGUACUUAUCAUACACCCCUCAACAAGCAGGUUGAUUAUGUUAAUUCCAUGAGGGCUUCUCAGGAGUUCAGUGCAAGAAUUUCUGAUUUGUUGAAUGUUAUCAAUGUCACUGCCUCAAUAGUUUCACUUCUUGCAUUUCCUUAUAAAAAAUUUUCAGAUAUAUAUUUUCUUGCUAGUACGCAAACAGUUGUCUCCUUAGGCAGCAGAUGGAGAUUGUUUCUCCUUAUGGCUCAAAAUUCUCUUGGUGCUGCUGGCAAUAAGUUAAAAUUGUUAAAUCUGAUUAAGCUGCAUUUGACAUGCUAACUUGAGCUGUUCAGGAAGGAUUUUUGGUAUUCUUGUGACCAUUGCUUUGAAUCUAUUUUUCUUUUCUGGUGCAGAUUGAUAUCUUUCCGUAUUCGGUGUUUGAUAUGUUUUUUGAGCAAUACCUCAAUAUAUGGAGAGCAGCAUUGAUCAACCUUGCUAUAGCUAUCGGUUAGUAUGCCGAGGAGUCCUGUGCUCGUUAACUAAAGUA